rnacentral:tRNA from 1 species
UGGAAUACAGCUUAGUGGUAGAGUACUUGUCUAAAAUGCAUUAGGUCCUGGGUUCAACCCCCAGCAUGACAA